rfam:Ipomoea nil DNA, scaffold: scaffold2165, cultivar: Tokyo-kokei standard.
GUCCCUUAGGGGAAAUUGAAUAAAAGUGGAACAGUAUAGAGAAUAUUAGCAUGGCCAUUGUGUGAGGAUAACACACUAAAAUUGAGAAAUUGUUCGAAAUUAU